rnacentral:rRNA from 1 species
UGGGGAAUAUUGCACAAUGGGCGCAAGCCUGAUGCAGCCAUGCCGCGUGUGUGAAGAAGGCCUUCGGGUUGUAAAGCACUUUCAGCGGGGAGGAAGGCGUUAAGGUUAAUAACCUUGGCGAUUGACGUUACCCGCAGAAGAAGCACCGGCUAACUCCGUGCCAGCAGCCGCGGUAAUACGGAGGGUGCAAGCGUUAAUCGGAAUUACUGGGCGUAAAGCGCACGCAGGCGGUCUGUCAAGUCGGAUGUGAAAUCCCCGGGCUCAACCUGGGAAUUGCAUCCGAAACUGGCAGGUUAGAGUCUUGUAGAGGGGGGAAGAAUUCAAGGUGUAGCGGUGAAAUGCGUAGAGAUCGGGAGGAAUACCGGUGGCGAAGGCGGCCCCUGGACAAAGACUGACGCUCAGGUGCGAAAGCGUGGGGAGCAAACAGG